UACAGAGGGGGCAAGCGUUGUUCGGAAUUACUGGGCGUAAAGGGCGCGUAGGCGGCCUGCUAAGUCGAACGUGAAAUCCCUGGGCUCAACCCAGGAACUGCGUCCGAUACUGGUUGGCUUGAAUCCGGGAGAGGGAUGUGGAAUUCCAGGUGUAGCGGUGAAAUGCGUAGAUAUCUGGAGGAACACCGGUGGCGAAGGCGGCCUGCUGGGCAGUUUAGCUGACACUGAGGCGCGACAGCGUGGGGAGCAAACAGG
rnacentral:rRNA from 1 species